rnacentral:rRNA from 1 species
GACGAACGCUGGCGGCGUGCUUAACACAUGCAAGUCGAACGGAAAGGCCCCCUUGUGGGGUACUCGAGUGGCGAACGGGUGAGUAACACGUGAGUAACCUACCCUUGACUUUGGGAUAACUUCAGGAAACUGGGGCUAAUACCGGAUAGGAGCUCCUGCUGCAUGGUGGGGGUUGGAAAGUUUCGGCGGUUGGGGAUGGACUCGCGGCUUAUCAGCUUGUUGGUGGGGUAGUGGCUCACCAAGGCUUUGACGGGUAGCCGGCCUGAGAGGGUGACCGGCCACAUUGGGACUGAGAUACGGCCCAGACUCCUACGGGAGGCAGCAGUGGGGAAUAUUGCACAAUGGGCGGAAGCCUGAUGCAGCAACGCCGCGUGCGGGAUGACGGCCUUCGGGUUGUAAACCGAUUUCGCCUGUGACGAAGCGUGAGUGACGGUAAUGGGUAAAGAAGCACCGGCUAACUACGUG